GGGUUCCUGUGGAGAAGGACAACAAGCAGCACUGCUGGCACUUCUCCGCGGUGGAUUACGAGGUUGGGGCGGCCCUCGUUCUCAGGCCUGAUGAUGAAGACCUGAUUGAAAUCACAGCGGUUCCAUUGGCCGACCUCAUGGAACAAACUGGAGCUCAUUGGAACCAUUGUCAUGGGGAACCCUUAUGAUCCUGAUCCUCCAAACGGCCAAAAACAAGGCAUCCAUGGCUCUGGGGUUCUUUCUUAAAGCUGCAAAGAAACCCGACUUUCCAUCCAGUGCAUGUUCAAGAGUGAGUGGGGACAGUGGACCUGAGACUGUGGAUGUUGGAGGCUGCGGUAAGGGAAGCUUCAGGGAGAAGUGUCCCCAACCAAAGAACAUCUUAAACCUCCCUCCAGUACAAGAUGAUCUUGACAGUGAGGGAUGGAAAACAGGAAGUCAGUCAUGUCAACCCUCAUGAGGACAUUGAGGCCCACUCCUCAUCUGAGUCGCUGAUGUCAUCAUCAUCGAUGUCCCAGUCGGGCCGCUGGUACUCGCUGGUUUGGGUGAAG